rnacentral:rRNA from 1 species
UACGUAGGCAGCAAGCGUUGUUCGGAGUUACUGGGCGUAAAGGGUGCGUAGGCGGUUGUUUAAGUUUGGUGUGAAAUCUCCCGGCUCAACUGGGAGGGUGCGCCGAAUACUGAAUGACUAGAGUGCGGGAGAGGAGAGUGGAAUUCCUGGUGUAGCGGUGAAAUGCGUAGAUAUCGAGGAGGACACCGGUGGUGUAGACGGCUCUCUGGACCGUAACUGACGCUGAGGCACGAAAGCGUGGGCAGCAAACAGG